CCCAAAAAUCCCAUCAGUACAUCAUCGGCUCCAGGAUUAGAAGACACUUUUGUAAGAUAAUAUCCUAUGCACAAGGGAAGAAGCACAAACAAUAAGUAAGAUGAAUCAAGUAUAAAGGUAGCUUUCUCCAAAAAAAAAAAAAGUAUAAAGGUAGUAAAGCUUGAGAAGAAAAAAAAAUCUAAUGAAAUGGACACUUAUAGUCUUAGUUUUUUUUGGAUUUUUCUGACUUAAAUCCAGUUCAUCAUGAAUUCAACACAAAAAAAUGUGAAACUCAUAUGUGAAAUAAGAGGGUCCCAUCAUACAUUUCGUAUCUUAUGUUCAUAAUAAAGUAGAUCUUCAAUGCUCAUUCAGAAAAUAUUGUAAUGACUUAGUUAGCCCAGAAGUUAUUAGAUCCUAGAGUAACAAUAAAAUUAUUUUUUUAUUAAAAGGUAUCUGUCUCUGAAAUUUAUGAAAUCUCAAAUACCUUCAUUUGGAUUCAGUGAAUAUAUUUUGUUUACCUUCAUUUCCAAUUAAGAAGAUAUCUCUCCAUAGAUCUUGUGUUACCACAUCUUAACUUGCAUACAGUUCACCUUCAUCCUCACAGGAGAAUUAUACUGAUUUGAACAUGAUAAUAACCUAGCUUGUUGAUUGCAUGGCUGUAUUGGUCUCUUAUAUUUAUAAAUUUUGAUUCCCCUUGUUUUGGCAACAGCAAUGGACUGUUUGUUCAACAAAAGUUAAAGUACCUAGAACAGGAUCAAGUCCAGAU
rnacentral:misc_RNA from 1 species